AGAGAGAGACAUGCGCGCAUAUCAAUAAGCGGAGGAAAAGAAACUAACAAGGAUUCCCUUAGUAACGGCGAGUGAAGCGGGAAGAGCUCAAAUUUGAAAUCUUCAAGGUUUUACCUUGACGAAUUGUAGUUUAAAGAAGUGUUUUCUGCUGAAGUUUUGGUAAAAGUUCUUUGGAAUAGGACAUCAUAGAGGGUGAGAAUCCCGUAUUUGACCAUUAUUUUCAGCUUUGUGAUACACUUUCAAAGAGUCGGAUUGUUUGGGAAUGCAGUCCAAAAUGGGUGGUAAAUUUCAUCUAAAGCUAAAUAUUGGCAAGGAGACCGAUAGCGAACAAGUACCGUGAGGGAAAGAUGAAAAGAACUUUGAAAAGAGAGUUAAACAGUACGUGAAAUUGUCAAAAGGGAAGCGUUUGACGCCAGUGUUGUUUUCUCGAAAAUCAAUUAAAAAUGGCUCGAUUUUGUAUUGCUGAGACCUUAAAAGCUCACUGUACAUUUUUCGUGUCUUUUUUAAUGCACUUUUCGUUUAACAAGUCAACAUCAGUUUCUUUGUUGUAAAAGGGUCAUUGGAAGGUGGCUUUCUUUUCGGAGAAAGUGUUUAUAGCCUUUGGCCUCUGCAGUCGGAGAGACUGAGGUCUGCAGCGUAGACUCUUCGGGGUUAGAUACAUUUGUGCUAAGUUAUAGCUUUUUAUAGACAACUUGUUGACUAUAAUUAGUCUUGUAGCUUACUCGCUUAUGCUAUUUUACCUACGCUUAGGAUGUUGAAGAUGUAGCACAUCA
rnacentral:rRNA from 1 species